rnacentral:rRNA from 1 species
UACGUAGGGGGCAAGCGUUGUCCGGAAUCAUUGGGCGUAAAGAGCGUGUAGGCGGCUUGGUAAGUCCGCUGUGAAAGUCCAGGGCUCAACCCUGGAAAGCCGGUGGAAACUGUCAAGCUUGAGUCCGGAAGAGGCGAGUGGAAUUCCUGGUGUAGCGGUGAAAUGCGCAGAUAUCGGGAAGAACACCCGUGGCGAAGGCGGCUCUCUGGGACGGUACUGACGCUGAGACGCGAAAGCGUGGGGAGCGAACAGG